AUUGAACGCUGGCGGCAGGCCUAACACAUGCAAGUCGAGCGGGUGAAGGGAGCUUGCUCCUGGAUUCAGCGGCGGACGGGUGAGUAAUGCCUAGGAAUCUGCCUGGUAGUGGGGGAUAACGUCCGGAAACGGGCGCUAAUACCGCAUACGUCCUGAGGGAGAAAGUGGGGGAUCUUCGGACCUCACGCUAUCAGAUGAGCCUAGGUCGGAUUAGCUAGUUGGUGGGGUAAAGGCCUACCAAGGCGACGAUCCGUAACUGGUCUGAGAGGAUGAUCAGUCACACUGGAACUGAGACACGGUCCAGACUCCUACGGGAGGCAGCAGUGGGGAAUAUUGGACAAAGGGCGAAAGCCUGAUCCAGCCAUGCCGCGUGUGUGAAGAAGGUCUUCGGAUUGUAAAGCACUUUAAGUUGGGAGGAAGGGCAGUAAGUUAAUACCUUGCUGUUUUGACGUUACCAACAGAAUAAGCACCGGCUAACCUCGUG
rnacentral:rRNA from 1 species